UUGACCUACAGUCGUCAUAUUUGGCAUGGAGGUUAGUCAUGAUAAGUAGAUGACCCCUAUUGAUUUUUGAGGUCACUAGGUCAAAGGUCAAGGUCACAGGGGCCUUGACUUCAAAAAGCUUGUCCGCCCAAUAACUUAAGAUUCCUUUGACCCUUAGUCUUCAUAUUUGGCAUGGAGGUUAGUCAUGAUUAGUAGAUGACCCCUAUUGAUUUUGAGGUCACUAGGUCAAAGGUCAAGGUCACAGGGGCCUUGACUUCAAAAAGCUUGUCCGCCCAAUAACUUAAGAUUCCUUUGACCUACAGUCGUCAUAUUUGGCAUGGAGGUUAGUCAUGAUAAGUAGAUGACCCCUAUUGAUUUUGAGGUCACUAGGUCAAAGGUCAAGGUCACAGGGGCCUUGACUUCAAAAAGCUUGUCCGCCCAAUAACUUAAGAUUCCUUUGACCCUUAGCCUUCAUAUUUGGCAUGAAGGUUAGUCAUGAUUAGUAGAUGACCCCUAUUGAUUUUGAGGUCACUAGGUCAAAGGUCAAGGUCACAGGGGCCUUGACUUCAAAAAGCUUGUCCGCCCAAUAACUUAAGAUUCCUUUGACCUACAGUCGUCAUAUUUGGCAUGGAGGUUAGUCAUGAUAAGUAGAUGACCCCUAUUGAUUUUGAGGUCACUAGGUCAAAGGUCAAGGUCACAGGGGCCUUGACUUCAAAAAGCUUGUCCGCCCAAUAACUUAAGAUUCCUUUGACCUUACAGUCUUCAUAUUUGGCAUGGAGGUUAGUCAUGAUUAGUAGAUGACCCCUAUUGAUUUUGAGGUCACUAGGUCAAAGGUCAAGGUCACAGGGGCCUUGACUUCAAAAAGCUUGUCCGCCCAAUAACUUAAGAUUCCUUUGACCUACAGUCGUCAUAUUUGGCAUGGAGGUUAGUCAUGAUAAGUAGAUGACCCCUAUUGAUUUUGAGGUCACUAGGUCAAAGGUCAAGGUCACAGGGCCUUGACUUAAAAAAGCUUGUCCGCCCAAUAACUUAAGAUUCCUUUGACCUUAGUCUUCAUAUUUGGCAUGGAGGUUAGUCAUGAUUAGUAGAUGACCCUAUUGAUUUUGAGGUCACUAGGUCAAAGGUCAAGGUCACAGGGGCCUUGACUUAAAAAAGCUUGUCCGCCAAUAACUUAAGAUUCCUUUGACCCUUAGUCUUUAUAUUUGGCAUGGAGGUUAGUCAUGAUUAGUAGAUGACCCCUAUUGAUUUUGAGGUCACCAGGUCAAAGGUCAAGGUCACAGGGGCCUUGACUUCAAAAAGCUUGUCGCGCCAAUAACUUAAGAUUCCUUUGACCUACAGUCGCCAUUUUGGCAUGGAGGUUAGUCAUGAUCAGUAGAUGACCUCUAUUGAUUUUGAGGUCACCAGGUCAAAGGUCAAGGUCACAGGGACUUUGACUUCAAAAACGUUAUCUGCCCAAUAACUUUAGAUUCCUUUGACCCACAGUCUUCAUAUUUGACAUGAUGUUGAUCAUGAUUAGUAGAUGACCCCUUUUGAUUUUGAGGUCACUGGAUCAAAGGUCAAGGUCAUAGGGACUUCAAAAAAGUUUGUCCACCCAUUAACUUAAGAUUCCUUUGACCCACAGUCUUCAUAUUUGGUAUGGAUGUUGAUCAUGACUAUAAGGUGACCCCUAUUGAUUUUGAGGUCACUGGGUCAAAGGUCAAGGUCACAGGGACCUUGACAAAAAAAAAGCUUUUCUUCUCAAUUGCUAAAGAAUGUCCUGUCCGCAAUGUAUUGAUUUUGACAUUUUCACAUUUGAAGCAUGUAGAAUACAUAACUUAGCAAUGCACUGGCUUAGUCACCUCAGAUUUGGCAGGGAGGUUGUCCUUGAGCUCUAAAUGGCCACUGUUGAUUCUGACAAAGUGGUAUGCGGGGGUAUUCACGCCAUGAUAGUGGCAGUUCUAGUUGUUA